AGGGAGCACGCGGACAAAGGAGGCGGCCGGCGGCCCAGCUGUUUUGAAAAAUGCUUCCUGUUUCUUUAAAGGCGCUCGCGGCUCGGGCGGCCGGGGCUGGGGAGGCGGUGGCGGCGGGAGCUGCCUCCUCUCCGGGCGGCGGCGCUGACUGAUCUCGCGAACUGGGCUUCUGUGUAAACUGAGGCUAAACAAACACAGAUGGAGCGCAGCGGGCGUUCUCCAGAAAUGCUGGCAAGGCGGCAGCGACUUCAGAUGACACUCUGAGCGCUCCGGGAACGGACAACCCGGCGGCUUCGCGGAGCCGGCCGCGCAGCUGCCCCGGGCGAGGGGGAGAAAGGGAGAGCGGGAGGGGGAGGCGGGCGAAGGGGGAGAGCCAGAGACUCCUCGGCGCUGAGCGCGGCGGCGGCCCGGGCAGCCCCCCGCCCCUGCCUCGCGCGCCGCCCGCGCCAUGAAGCAUAUCCCGGUCCUCGAGGACGGGCCGUGGAAGACCGUAUGCGUGAAGGAGCUGAACGGCCUCAAGAAGCUCAAGCGGAAAGGCAAGGAGCCGGCGCGGCGCGCGAACGGCUAUAAAACUUUCCGAUUGGACUUGGAAGCGCCCGAGCCCCGCGCCGUCGCCACCAACGGGCUGCGGGACAGGACCCACAGGCUGCAGCCGGUCCCGGUCCCGGUCCCGGUGCCGGUGCCAGCCCCAGUGGCGCCGGCCGUUCCUCCAAGAGGGGGCGCGGACACAGCCGGGGAGCGCGGGGGCUCCCGGGCGCCUGAGGUCUCUGACGCGCGGAAACGCAGCUUCGCUCUGGGCGCAGUGGGGCCAGGACUCCCCACGACGCCGCCGCCGCCGCCUCCUGUGCCCCAGAGCCUGGCACCUGGGGGCCCAGAGCCACAGCCUUUCCGAGAGCCGGGUCUGCGUCCCCGCAUCUUGCUGUGCGCACCACCCGCGCGCCCCACGCCGUCCGCGCCCCCAGCGCCGCCCGCGCCCCCGGAGUCCACAGUGCGCCCCGCGCCCCCCACGCGCCCUGGGGAAAGUUCCUACUCGUCAAUUUCACACGUAAUUUACAAUAACCACCCGGAUUCCUCCGCGUCGCCUAGGAAACGACCGGGCGAAGCGACUGCCGCCUCCUCGGAGAUCAAAGCCCUGCAGCAGACCCGGAGGCUCCUGGCAAACGCCAGGGAGCGGACGCGGGUGCACACCAUCAGCGCAGCUUUCGAGGCGCUCAGGAAGCAGGUGCCGUGCUACUCGUAUGGGCAGAAGCUGUCCAAACUGGCCAUCUUGAGGAUCGCCUGUAACUACAUCCUGUCCCUGGCGCGGCUGGCUGACCUUGACUACAGUGCCGACCACAGCAACCUCAGCUUCUCCGAGUGUGUGCAGCGCUGCACCCGCACCCUGCAGGCCGAGGGACGUGCCAAAAAGCGCAAGGAGUGACUGGCUACAGGCGAGACCGAGACCACCGCUGUGGGCCCUCCUACCCAUCAGGCCUGAGGACAAGGUCCUGGUGUGAGAGACAGCCUGGAAAGCCAAAUACUGUAAUCUGGGGAGCAGCCCUAAGAUGAAUAACAUUAGGCUAUGUAAGAACCACUGAUUCAAUGAUCCUGUCCAUUGAGGACCACAAGGUAAUAUAUCCUUUUCCUAAAGACACUGAAAAGUCCUGCAGUAGAAACACUCAUUUAACUUUUUGAACUCAGUGCCUCUCAAACUUAUAUGAACACUUAUCUUUUAAAAAGAAAUUUAUUAUGGUAAAAUACACAUAGCGUAAUAUUGAGCAUUUUAACCAUUAAGUGGACGGUUCAGUGGCAUUAAAUACAUUCAUAAUGUGUGCAACCAUUACCAUUAUCCGCAUCCCAAAUGUUUUCAUCAUUGCCAACAAAAACUCUGCACCCGAUAAACAAUAACUCUACCUCCUCCCCUCCCCCACCCUGAUAAACUCUAUUCUACUUCCUGUCUCUACGAACUUGCCUAUUCUAUGUACUUCAUAUAAGUGGAAUCAUACAAUAUUUGUCCUUCUCUGUUGACUUAUUUCAUUCACUAUGCGUAAUGUUUUCAACGUCCAUCCUCGUGUUGGCAUGUGUCAGAGUUUCAUUGCUUUUCGUGGCUGAACAAUGCUCCAUUAUGUGGAUAGACCACAUCUGUGUUGAUGGAGAAUGCUUAUCCUUUAUUUCAGGGACCCAUCUCUCAUGGAACAUCAAGAAAGGUCCCCAGAACACAGUUUGGGCACGGUUGUCUUUUGGAGCCACUAGAAUGUUGGGAUUUGGAACCGGCCAGGGUGUUCAUGUUCUUGCCCACACGUUUGCUCUAGGCACUGACAGAAACUUCGGUUAGCUCAGUCUCCAAUCUUAAGGCAAAGACUGAAGCCCAGAGUGGGGAAGCUGUCUGGGAAGUACCCAGGGAGCGGUGGUCAGUGGUCAGCCCUGGGGGCAAAGCAGGGGCCAGCCUUGUUCUCUAAACCCACAGGAUGCUUGGUCCUGCUGGGAAGGCUGACAGCUCAGUGUCGCUGCCAUCUGUCAGGGCUGCCUUCCCUGGUUUUGAGGACAGGGCUGGACAGGAGCCAAGUUUGAAGGGAGCAGUUGCCUGGAGGCCCUGGCCCCUUUUUGGCAGCCUCACGGGUCCUGUUCCUACAAGGAGCUGGACACGCUGUUCUGAACAACUGCCCCUGCCCCUCCCUGUCAGCACCUCCCACAGAGACCCCUUUCUAGCAGGCAGACAUGCUGGGGAUUAAUGAAUUAGGGGCCCAGAACCCCAGUUCAGGCAAGAGAGGAGACACCCAGAGUUGUGCCUCCAGUGACACAGGGACAACAUGGACCUCUCUGGGAACCCGAAGUUCUGGGCUCCAACUUGGCCUGAUCCUCCACUCCGUGCCCGUAACUUCUGAGGUCGCUCCUGUCUCAGCAGUCUCCCAUGUGGGCCUCACACUGCCUUGUCCUCCCCCAAUGCUGGCAUUCAGGGUCAGAUGAAAACUCCCUUCGCUGGCUCCACUGCCCCACCUGGAGACCAAGGGCCCACACUGUUCUUGCUCGAACAGCUGUACUUCUCCUCUUGAGAGAUUUUCUUUUGAGCCAGAGAAUUAUUUGAAAGAGAAGAGACCUUCCAGAAUUGUUAAACAAAACAACACAACAGAGCAUCUCUAGACAAAUUACAAAUAAACUGGGUUCGCGCUUCAAAUCUGGAUAAAGCUCCUCUUCCCAGACCUCAAACCUGUUGCUCAAGUAAAGCUUCUUUGACCUUGGACCAGACCUCCCUGUGCGGGGGCCUCCCAGGUCAUCUCCUCUCACCGCUGUGGCCAGGUUCCUUGCAUCUCCAUCUGUCUUCCCGGCUCCGCUGUGCACUCCUGGAAGACGGUGAGUGUGUCUGGUCAUCUCCCCAGGGCAGAACGGCCCUCAGGACCUGCAUUGAUGCAGUGCUGCCCGCCUGGCUAGGAAAGCUUUUCGCGAUUCUCUGCCCUGGUGAGGGGCUGCAAGGUCCUGCCCACCCCAGUGCAGCCCAGUCCAGCCCUCAGGUAAUCCAGCAGAACCCAGCUGAGAGUCAGGUGUGGGAGGCAAGUCUGAAAUAGGAUGAAUGCUCUUGAACUCAGUGCACGAAAUGACUAAGAAGCUGGAGCCAAACGGAGCACACAGUGAGGGGACGUCCGAGAAGCACCACGUGUCUCCAGCCCAAAGCCACUCAGAGGGACUUAAAUGAAUGUCUCGUGCACACGGCAAGGUGGCAGUGCCUGUUCCUCCCAGGGCCUGUCUGCAGCCCCCAGCCCCAGGUCCUGAGCCUCCCUUAAGGCCUGCCUCCCCGCAGAGCUUUGUCACUCUCUCCAGCUGAGCCAGGCCUGUCAUCAGGACCCCCUUUCCUCUCCACAAAGGCCAGCACUCUCCCGGCUCCCCCAGCUCUAUCCCGGCCCAUUCUGCCUCCGCUGCUUUCCUCAGUGUGUGGGUUCAGCGGCAGCAGCAUCUGCGGGGCACCCUCUGGCCUGCGGGCAGUCACAGGAUGCCAAGGGCCCUGGUGCUGGUUCUUGGCCCUGCCACUCACUGGCUGCAUGACCCAGGGCAAGUUGCUGCCUCCCUAAGCCGAAGUUUCUCCCUUUGUAAAAAGUGGUUGGAAGAGAUGAUGACUAAAGCCUCUUCUAGAUCCAUAACUAUCUCGCUGGAUAACAGCUGCUCAUUCAACACCAGACUGAGUUAAACAUCUAAGGAAUUUCUACUCGAAAGCCAACAUUUAGAGCCAGCCCUACCCCACUGGGCGUCAUCCACGACAGGCAGGCAGAGGCACUGCAUUCCCCUUGCUUUCUCCCUCAGCACUGGCCUCAGCUGGCCUUUCCUUGCCCAGGUCCUCCGGGCCCCUCCCAGGGCUGUGGCCUUCCUCUGGCCAGGUCCUCAGGCAGGGCUCGUUUCCUCCCCGGCCUGAGCACCUUCCCGAGGAGCCAGCGCCUGUCCCUGCUGCCCAGUGCUUCCUCAGAGGCAGGGCCUUGGCAAGUGCUGCCUUGCUGCUGAUGAGACUUAAUUAACGCAGGGAUCUGUUUUCCUCCUGGCCCUGGGAGAGAGGCGCCCGCCUCCGAGCUCAAGGACACAGGGUCCCUCAUUGUUCUUCGGAGAAACGCAGCUGCCCCUCCGCAGCUGCUGCCCCGGGCCUGUCAGCUGCUGCCCCUGUUCUCAGAGGGCCUUCCCACUCUCCUCCCUGAGGGGCUUAUUCAAGUGCCCAUCAGCAGUGAUCCUCGUCCUUCCCCCGUGCUGGUUUCUUCAGGGUGUCCAUGGUGCUGACUCUCGGCUCACUGCAACCUCCGUCUCCCCAGUUCAAGUGAUUCUCCUGCCGCAGCCUCCAAGUAGC